CCUCAGAAAAAUAAUAGUGAAUUCCAGAAAUUUGUUACUCUCAGCCCCAAUAAAAUGACCGGUGAAGAAGAUCAGGGAAGAACAGAAAAACUCAGCCACCAUUUGAGAAGCUCCCCUGACCCUGAGCACACCCACCAGCAUCUUGGGAAACGACGUUCAUCCUCAUUGAUGCCACCCAAGGACACUGAUAAUAAUGAACUUCAGCAGCCCUUUGUUAAGCACCUCCGACUCACGGAUGCCCCAGACUUGUCUAAAUAUGCUCAACUCCAGAAACAAUUAG